GGGAGAUCCGAGCGUCUCGGCUGGUGGAAGGGGCGAGGAGCUUUGCAGUUGUGUGCGAGUGUGUACAGGGACAGAGUCCUGAGCAAGGAAACCUAGAAGGGAGAGAGGAAUACCAUGGAAUUGAGUCCUGUCUGGUAGCACUGACAGACACAGUGGCCAGCCACCCUCAUGCCACCCUGUCCUGCCAUGGGAAGGAACAGCAGCUCUAGAGUUCCUAUGCUUUGAAUCUGCUGUUAUUAAGUUGCUGGUGCUGAAAUAACACUUAUUAUUUAUGAUCUAACUGAAAUGGGAACACUGGAAACUUCUUUGAAACUGAAGAAAAAAAUGAAAAAGAAGUUUUUACAAUCAAAACUGCCAUGAAGACUGCUUUACCCAAAAUUUUGGUCCACAGCUUUCAUUGAAUUACUUAUCAGGGCAAACAAAGUUUAGCCAUGUGAACACGUUCCAAUUUUGUUGGAAAUAAUUUGGAUCCAGCUAUCUUUAUACAAUGGUGAGUUCGUAUUGCAUCUCAUGGCUAAAAUACUGAGGUAAAGGCUUUUGGAUCUUUGUGUGUGUGUGUGUGCAUGUGACAAAAACAAGCAAUGGGGAAAGGAGUCCCUAUUUAAUAAAUGGUGUUGGGAGAACUGGCUAGCCAUAUGCAGAAAGUUGAAACUGGAGCCCCUCCUUAUACCAUAUACAAAAAUCAACUCAAGAUGAAUUAAAGACUUAAAUGUAAAAACCCAAACUAUAAAAACCCUAGAAGAAAAUCUAGGCAAUACCAUUCAGGACAUGGGCACAGGCAAAUAUUUCAUGACAAAGAUGCCAAAAGCAGUAGCAACAAAAGCAAAAAUUGACAAAUGGAAUCUAAUUAAACUAAAGAGCUUCUGUACAGCAAAGAAAUUAUCAUCAGAGUGAACAGACAGCUUACAGCAUGGGAGAAAAUUUUUGCAGUAUAUCCAUCUGACAAAGGUCUAAUAUUCAGCAUCUACAAGGAACUUAAACAAAUUUACAAGAAAAAAAAACAACGCCAUUAAAAAAUGGGCAAAGGACGUGGACAGACACUUCUCAAAAGAAGAAAUUUAUGUGGGCAAUGAACAUUUUUUUUAAAAAAGCUCAACACCACUGAUCAUUAGAGAAAUGCACAUGAAAACCACAAUGAGAUACCAUCUCACACCAGUCAGAAUGGCUAUUACUUAAAGGUCAAAAAACAACAGAUGAUAGCAAGGUUGUGAAGAAAAAUGAACACUUUUAUACGUUGGUUGGAGUAUAAAUUAGUUCUACCCUUGUCGAAGACAGUGUGGUGAUUCCUCAAAGACCUAGGGGAAGAAAUAUCAUUUGACCCAGCAAUCUCAUUACU
rnacentral:lncRNA from 1 species